AUGUGGAACUUCAAGGGAAGAUGUUGUCAUAUAUGUUUCAACGGGUUCAGCACCGGUGGAAGAACUGAUCUUUCAUGGCCAAUCUUCAGGUGGAGCUGUGGACGAGAUGAUCAAUAUUUUUCCAUGCUUGGAAAGGGUACCUGUAAGCUAAAUAUGUGCUAUCUGUUUAAAGGUGAGUCUGGUUCAAAUUCUCAGAAAGUUGAGUUGUGGUGGAAAUACCUUUUAAACGUCAUCAAUUGCAAAAUGUACUUGCAAAACAAUGGAGGGUAUCUUACCAUCCAGGUAGAUCAAGACGCAGAAUUAGACAACAUAACUUGCACUAGUUUUGAGUUGUUCAUGAUCAAGGAGAGGAGCAUCCCAAUAUUUGAAUUGGACACCAAGAAUGACAAUAUAAUCGCCAUUGCAUGGGAGCCCAGAGGCCACCAGUUCGCUGUUAUUCACGGCGACAGACCUAAUCACGAUAUAAGCAUCUACUCGAUGUGCACAUCCGACAAUAUUAGCCAUGUGUCCAGGCUCACAACACUCAGGAACGGACAUGCUAGUGCAGUAUUCUGGUCUCCCGCGAGAAAAUUCAUUGUUAUUGUUGGGAUGAAGGGUACCAAGGGCCAAUUUGAGUGCUACAAUGUUGAUGAUCUUGAGAUCAUGGCCACAGAAGAGCAUUCUAUCAUGACUGAUGUCAUGUGGGAUCCCACAACAAGCUGA
rnacentral:rRNA from 1 species